CGUGGACGAAUUUUCUAGCACAACUUCAACAGCAAUUUUAUAUACCAGUUUUAUUUAUAUGUUUGAAUGGGAAACUGAUCGUUUACGGACUAUUUUGUGAUCAAAGUGAAAAACUGGUCUCAAAAGUUGUGCGACUAACUUCGGGCUAAAUACUGUUCGAAUCUCAUAGAGUCACAGUUAUUUACAGGUUUUGCAGCACGUUGAUCUCAACAAUUUUUGAGGUUUGAAGAAGAAAAUUAACGGUUUGUUUUCUGUUUAAUGUCGAUUGUGACGAAAUUUUGGCACAACUCUCUGAAACCUCUGUAGUUAACUCUGUCUUAAUGAACUUUAGACACUGUUUUGCUCGAAGGGCUCUGCACAACAUCGACAACAUCAGUUUUGGACUUCUGAAGAAAAAAAUGAACGUUUAGGCAGUGUCGUGCCCAAAGGUCUCGGCGCAACAUUGACAACAAUAGUAAUCGAUUGCUGAAGAAGAAAAUGCUCGUUUCAGUGCCUGUUUAAUCCCGAAAGAGAAGAAAUAGGAGCACAAUGAAAAUGAUCGUAUAAGCAAGUGUGUAACGCCGAAACUGAAAAAAUGACGAACAGCGAGCCGAAAACGAUCUAAGAAUUGUCCCAAUGAAUUUCGGACAGUGGCGUGCUCAAAGAGCUCGGCACAACCGCAAUUUUCCAAUCUUUGAGAAAUAAAAUGAAGUAUUAAUGCCCAACGUAAAUAAAUUGGAGAACAAUAA